rnacentral:lncRNA from 1 species
AAAAAGCCUCAGCCGUAGGAUGGAUUCGGAGAUGCUGAUCGGAGGGCUGGGGAGGCGACACGUGGCUUAUUCCCAUUGGAGCUGACGUCAGCGACCGCGGGUUGGAGCUCGGGCUCGUCUAGCCUUCGGGCUGGCCCGAGUUGGUGGGUCCCAGACCCCCCCGGGCCUGGGCUGCGCGGUGGAACACCAUUUUUUUUUUCCCCUCGCCUCGGGCUGGGCCCUUCCGUUGGACUUGCUCUUAGGUUAAUAACUAAGUCUGGUUUUAUUUUUUAAAUUUCUCUCUCCCUCCUUCUCUGUGUUUGUGAUGAAUCAAGGUUAUUUCUCUCUCUUUCUCUACCUUUUUGUUUUUUUUUUGGCAGGAUUGUUAUUCCAGGUUUGGUAACCGACCAAUACCCCAUCUACCUACGGUAACUGGCACCUUCAGUAACUGUCUUUGUGUGGUGCGGCGUUGGUUUGGAUUUUGGCUAAAUCGCAGAUAGUCAGUCGAUAAACUGUUUUUUUGUUUCAGUGUGGUUAUCGCACCGAAAACACCCAUAGUCUGCAAGUUAGGGCCAUUUUUCAUUGAGUCAGACCCGUUGACACAUUGACAAACUUUAUGAAACUAUAAAGUCUUUUUCUUAAUUUACUGUUAUAAUUGAUAAAUCAAUUGAUUAUUUUUAUGUUAUUUAAAAAGAAUCUAGGUAGGAAAAUAUUAUGGGGGGCAGGUGAGAGCAAUGGGAAGAUGUUUUUUCUUUCCUGGCUGCAAAUUAUGAUAAAUUCUAAUCAUAAUCAUGCCAUGCAACUUACAAGUAUAAGAAAGAAAGAAACAAUAUAUGUGGGUUAAGUCAUUUGACUAAAGUAGUAUAUUCGCACUUUUGCAUAUGAGUUUGGUUAGUUUUGAAUAUCACUUUGUUAGAAGGAAAAAGGAUUUUCUGCGGUUUUGCCCCUAAACUAUUUGCAUAUUGUCAAUUUAGCUUCUUAAUAAUUUUUUCAGUAAAUUAAGAACUCCAAUGGUUUAAAAAUCGCCAAUUGAGGCGUACUGUCAAUUUUUAUCCAAAUAAAGGGUAAAUUCAUAAUUUUAUAAAAAUUAAAAAAAUUUAAAUUUUGUGAAUAAAAUAAAUAUUUAACAUUUCAAAUUAAAAUUUUUUAAAAAAAGGGAAAGAAAAAAAAAAAAAAAAUCAACUCAGCCUCCCCAUCAUUCUCCCCUCCCCCUCGUUGCCCUCACCAUCCUCUUCCCAUUUUUCCCCUUACAUCUCCCCCACCCUCCACCUCUAAUCUCUCUGUGCCACACCCCAACUCUCUCUCUCUCUGUCUCUCAACCCCCAUCGACCACACACCCUCUAAUUCACCCAAUUCACUGAAUCAACCUCAUAGAACCCCAAUUCCUCGACCCAACUUUUAGUCCCCCCCUUCCCCCUCCAUCCUUCUCUCCCUUUCUCUCUCCCUCAUCCUCUGUUUUUCUCUCUACCUAGAAAACUACCAAGCCCAACGCCACCAUACAACUCCGCAUCCCCACCCUGCGAGACCUAUCCCAUCCCAACCCAAGACCCAUCCACACUCGAGAUACAUAUCACACAUCUAGUUAUUGUUCAUAAGGGUGUCAAACUCAACGAAUACAAACCCCAACCCUGGUUUGUUUGAAGACAUAGGGGGAAGAGAAAGAGAAAUGGAAAACAUAGAGGGGGGAAAAGGGAGAAAAGGGAAGAGAGACAGAGGGAGAGAGAAAGAUGAAGGGAUGGGAGGCGGUGACACUAGGGUAGGGUGGAGGCGAGUGGCGUUCAUGAGAGGGUAGGGUGGGGGUGAGAAGAUGAUGGGGUGCUAGGGUUUGAGGAAGAAGAUGAGGGAUGAGUUUUAAUUUUAAUUUUUUAAUAAAAAUUUUCAUAUUGUUUUUAAACAACUAUUUAAUACUAUUAUUUGAUAUUUUAAUAAGGCAUAAUUCUCACGAAAUUAUGAAUUUGACCUUAAUCUAACGGAAAAGUGGAUAGCAUCCUUAAGAAUCUAACGGUAGGCUCUCAAUUGGCGAUUUUUAAAUAUAUAGAGUCCUUAAUUUAUCAAAAAAUUGUUAAACAGUUAAAUUGACAAUACGCAAAUAGUUCAAGGGGCAAAACCGUAGAAAACUCAAUAUAAAAAAAUAUAUACAGAAGAAAUGGAUAAAAGUUAUUUAAAACAUGGAUAAUUUGGUAAUUUCCACGUCAAGUCACUAGUUGAUGACUAUCAAUCACUUAUUUGUUUUCAAUGCGGAAAAAAGUAUCAAACUUUCAGAGUUUUAGAUGGCUUGAAAAACGAAGAGUAGUUGUAAUUUGGUAAUUUUCUUCACUGGGAUUAUCAAAACGAUAAUUACUGGAGUAGGUGAACGACUAAAUGCAAUUAUUAUUAUUUUUGGUAAAAACAAUUUUCCUUAUUUUUUUGAAAAUGUAUUUUCCUUUGUUGUAAAAAGGAAAAGAAAAACUGAGUUAUGUUGGGAUGGCGUGGAAAACUAGGUGUAAUGAUGUUUUGGUCAUUUUACCUAUUAACUCAACUUAUUUACGGGUCCUGCCAUUGGUCCCUUCCUAUAGGCCGCUGAUGCUUGUCUCUGCUCUCUAUCUCUCUCUCUGAGUUGGGCCAGUUCCCCUUCCAAUAACAGCGAUAUCGUGGACGUCUGCGCCUCUCUUCUACCAAAUCUACACCCAAAAUAGCAAAAAUAUAUCAGCGAAAGUCACUCAAAAACCCUAAUUUACCUCUAUCCGAUCUCUCUCUCUCACAUUUCGUUGCCAUCUCAGAGUGACAAUUCGAACCAAUUUCGUUCUCAUGGCUCUCAUCUGAUAUACCUGGUACACUAUUUCUUCCUCAAUUUUCGUUUUAAACCCUAGAUUUUUAGGGUUUUAGCAAUAUCGUUUCAAAUAUUUGGAAACUUUUUUUGAUUUUUGUUUUAAUUUUUUUUUUCCUGGGGGCUUUGCAGAUUUUGGGGACGAUUUGUGGGGCGAGGUGUUUCAUUGAACCGGCAUGAAGCGAGAAUUGGCUUGUGUAUUGGAGGGCCAGUCUCAGCUCACCGAUUCACUGGCUGGGACUCAGACCGAGUCCCAGACGAGUCCUUGUGUGCGGGUUUAUGAGAACCUCAACUUUAAGAGGUUUAAAGGUGCUGUUGUGAAUGGUGUAAUUGUUUAUACCCGAGAAAGAAGGUCUCGGAUCAAUGGCCGAAAUGCGUUUUCCGAUGAUGCGGAAAUAAAUGGGCUCAAGAGCUCUGAUGAGCUGAGAGUUGAUGAAAGCCCUUCUCCUCAGGGCUCUGAAAGGGGCGAAUCAGUUGAAUUUGUAGUUAAAGAUGAACCAAAUUGCAAAUUGGAGAUGCGUAGGUGUAGUGGAUAUGGGCCCUACAGUGAGCUCUCAGGGCCUUCGGUCGAGGAGCAUGAUAUGGAAGCGGACUUGGUUGAAGUUGAAGUUAAAGAUGAGCCUAGUUGUAAUGAGGGGGAAACGGAUUUGCAAGGCCGGCCAUUGAGGCGGUUUACGCGAUCAGCAUUGAGACCUACGUUUGAGCCUACUGUGGAAAGUGCAUCAGGGGCCGUGCCAGUUGAAGUGAUUUCAAAUAUAGAGGAGGAUGAUACAUUUGGAGUCAGCACACUGGCAUCCCCGCUGAGGAAUAAGCUAGAACUGAAAAUGUCAAAGAAGAUUGUGUUGGACAGGAAGCCUACGACGGUCAAGGAGCUCUUUGAGACUGGAAUGGUUGAUGGGGUGCAGGUGAUUUACAUGGGUAGCAAGAAGGUAGUUUGAUUCCAAAUUCAUUUUUAUGCAUUUAAAAAAAGAUAUGUUUAGUACAGAUAAUGAGCUAAAAGGUGGUGAUGAUUUUAAUUCAGGCAUUUGGUUUGCGGGGCAUAAUAAAGGAUGGUGGGAUUCUAUGUUCAUGUAUCUUGUGCAACAACUGCAGGGUGAGUAAUGCUUGUUGCUCUAAGAUGGUUUAGUAUGCUAUAAACUGUUCUGUGAGUUGCUUUAUGCAUUUAUUUAUUUGCUUUGCUCUUUUUCCAAUCAAUGUAGGUUAUUCCACCAUCCCAAUUUGAGAUUCAUGCUUGUAAAACAUACAGACGGGCAGCACAGUAUAUUUGCUUUGAGAACGGAAGGAGUCUGCUUGAUCUCUUGAAGGCGUGCAGAAAUGCUUCUCUCCAUACUUUGGAGACAACAGUUCAGAAUUUCAUCAAUUCUUCACCUGCGGAGAAGUAUUUCACUUGUAAAAAUUGCAGUGGUGAGCUUUGAAUAGUUUUUAUUUUUGUUUUCUCUUUAUAUUCUUUUGUAUUUAAGCAGUUUUAAGCAUAUUGAUUAUAGUUAUUUGAUGAAAUUUUUCUUGAUUGCUUUUUUUUUUUCUUCUUCUUCUUCGUAUUCUAUCAUUUCUAGUGUCGUUUCCUCCAUACUGUGCUCUGGAUGAUGGAUCUCUCUGCUAUUCUUGCAUGGAGUCAAAGAAGCCUGAGUGCAGUCCAACUCAUGAACCUGGUGAUAGUCUCAGGUAUGGUACUCUUUCAAGUUACCGCUUCCAGCAUUGUUAUUCUUGUCAAAUUUUGACCUGGAAUUUGUGGAUUUUGGAUUUUCAGAUUGUAUCCCUUGUUUUUCUCUAAAUUAGCUAGUCUAUGAUGUAAACAGUUUUGCCAUUUUUUUUUUCCACCCUAAUAAUACUGUAUUGCUUUAUUGGGGCCUUGGGUGCGAAAAGGGUAUUGAAUAACUUUUUGUUGGUAGGGAACUUAUCUUCAUGUGCUUGUCUCUAAGUGGCAAGAGUUAGGGUAGCAAGAGCAAUUAUUAGGUAGUAGUUUCCUUUGAAAGGUGUUAAGCCUUGCAUUGUAAUGUGGAUAAUAGAAUGACAUAACCACAUUCUAUAUUUUGUUUCUAAAAGAAAAAGAAAUCCACAUUCCACAUUCUAUAUUACUUGCAUCUUCAAACAUAAGAUCUGCAUGUUGUGUUAAAGGGAGUGACAUAUCCACCUUAUAUAUUGCAAGUUGGAACUGUUGUACAAUGCGUCCCAUUUAUUAUAAAAAUGAUUAAAAUUCAGUUUAGUUGUGGUAUGCUUGUGCUUUAUAGAUACAAAUUAUUCAUCGUUGCUGUUUAUAAGGAAAUUGACAGUAACAUAUAUUUUCAUAUUUACUUAAUAUGGCAAUAUAUAUUCAUUUAGACAUAGGCUGGGGAUUGGCUCCAUUGUUGCUGAGAUUCUAAGAAUGUUUUGUUAACUGUUUCUGGAAAACCAUGAUUCCAUUGGGUGCAUCAAAGAGUCUCAAACUCAUUAUUUCUCACAUUCUGACAUAGGAUAUUGGCUGAUUAAAUGAAUUUUAAAAUCCUAACAUUAUGGUUGCAUUUUCUAUCUGUCCCAUUAUACAUGGAUCAGUUCUAGCGUUUUUGCUUAAGGUGACAUUUAUGUCACAAGUUGCAAUAUAAUAUUUCUGAAACCUUAUGGAAGGUGUAAGAAUGUUACUCAGUUGUUGUAUCCUUUUUUUCAGUUUUAGUUAUUGAAUAGUAUUGAUAUGCAAAUUCCUUCUCAUAUGUUCUUGCAUCUGUAUUGUCUUCAGAUCUUUGAUGCCUGUUUCAAUCUCGAAGUCCCUGAAGAGUGCAAUCCCAAAGUCCCCGAAAACUGGAAUCACGAAGUCCCCGAGAAUUGGAAUCACAAAGUCCCCGAGAAUUGGAAUCACAAAGUCCCCGAGAAUUGGAAUAUCAAAGUCCCCGAGAAUCGCAAUCUCUAAAUCCCCGAAAAGUGCAAUCAUAAAACCCCUGAAAAGUGCAAUCUCAAAGACCCUGAAAAAUGCAAUUUCAAAGUCCCCCAAAAGUGCUCCAGUCUGUUUGUCUUUGCAAAAGAAGAGAAAGUAUGUCUCUUUCUUUGUUGACAUCCCCCCUCCCCCCCUCUCUUUGCUGUAUCAUUAUUGUAUAUAUUAAAUCGUAAAAUUAAAUUAACUAACCUUUAUAGCUAUUCUGUCUCUAAAAGGGAAAACUUAUGUGGAUUAUGGAAAUAGUAAAAUUUUGAUUGAGGUUUACUUCUUCAAAAAUUUGUUUUCCCUUUUGUUAUAUGCUUUUAUCUUCACUGCAGGUCAUCACCGCCAGUUUUGAUAUCAGAUCCCUCCGGAAGUGCUUCUCCAAUGUGUUCGCCUUAUAAGAGUAGAUGGAAGAUAACACCAAAGUUGGUAUCCUUCUAAGUAGAAUCAAUGAUAAGCUUCUGUUCAUUAUAUCCCUGUGACUAGUAAUCUGCUCUAAUAGCAAGCCAAGAAAACUGAUUCUUUCACAAAAUCUUCUUUCAAGAAACCUUUUGCUAUGUUUGUUCUUAUGAACACCUUCCAAAUUGUCUUGAUAGAGAAAUAUUGGACAGUGAUUUAUCUGUAUGUUUAAUGUCUUCGUGAUAUGUCGUCUGCAUUUUUACAGGUCAUCAAAAUCAAUUCUGAUCUCAAGGUCUCCCAGUCCUGCUUCAAUGUACUUUUCUUCACAAAAGAAGAGUCAGUGGAGGAUUACAACAAAGUAGGUUGCAUCCUCUCCUGUCAGUUUUUAUUAACAUAAAUAUGCUUCUUUUUUAGGUAGCAUAAUUUUGAAUGUAAGUAUUUUCUUUCCAUUUGUGAGAUGAAUAAUCUGCUUCUUCGUUGGUUGUAUCUUUCUCAAGAGAUCAGCGGCUGCAUAAGUUGGUUUUUGAGGAAGAUGGAUUGCCUGAUGGAACGGAAGUAGCAUAUUAUGCACGCGGACAGGUUGAUGAGAAAAAGAUUGUUCAUACUUUUAUGUUAUUUAUCUGCGUAUUGAAAUAAAAUAAUAAUUUUCUGUGGACAGAAAUUGCUAGUUGGUUAUAAGAUGGGCUUUGGAAUAUUUUGCCGUUGCUGCAACUCUGAGGUAUUUUCUGCUACCACUUGACUUCACAGUUCAUGAAUCCCAUAUUGGAAAUUUUGACACUUUUAUUUAUUCUGCAGGUUAGCCCCUCACAGUUUGAGGCUCAUGCAGGUUGGGCUUCACGCAGGAAACCGUAAGUUUUUGUGUGAUAUAUACAGCGGCUACCCAUGUCACGAUUUACCUUAAAGAUUUGAUAAUUCUAUGGUUCUGUUUGUACUUUUUGGCAGCUAUGCAUACAUUUACACAUCUAAUGGCGUGUCUCUCCACGAGUUGGCAAUAUCUUUGUCGAGAGGUCGGAAAUAUUCAUCCAAGGAUAACGAUGACUUGUGCAUCAUUUGUGCAGAUGGUGGGAAUCUUGUGCUUUGUGAUGGAUGCCCAAGGGCUUUCCACAGAGGUGAAAUUUAUGAUUCUUAUGAGUACGAUAUAAAAUUUAUAUUUUCUUUUCAUCGACUCAAAACUAGUUCCCUCUUUUAUUGGUAAGGUAAGACCUUUUAUUUGCUUUUAUAGUCCAAUAAGAGGUUCUGUUUGAAUGGCUGAGAUAAAGUUGUUAUUGAAUCAAGAACAAAUUUUAUUUGGAAAUCCUUUGUUAAUUAUAUUUCAAGUUCAUAAUGUGAUAGAAACAUGUUGAAAAUUUGUUUUGUGAUUGUCUACAAAAAUUGUUGAGUUUUUGUAAAUGAAGUAAAUCUGAAAUUCAGUUCACUUGUAUUUGGAUCUUACUUUGCAUUGUAUAUCACUUUAAAGAUAAUUUGUGGAAUCAUGAUGGAGCAGUCAUUGAGUUCCCUCUGAUGCACUUCCGCAACUGUAUUUGCCUUAUAUGAGUUUGCGGUAUGAAUUGUUUGCCCCAUGCAGACUGUGCAUCUCUACCAAAUGUUCCUCGUGGUGACUGGUACUGUAAGUUCUGCCAGAAUAUGUUCCAAAGAGAAAAGUUUGUGGAACAUAAUGAAAAUGCUGUUGCUGCUGGAAGGAUUUCAGGAAUUGACCCUAUAGAACAGAUAACCCAAAGAUGCAUUCGUAUUGUCAAAGACAUAGAAGCUGAAUUGACUGGAUGUGUUUUAUGUAGGUAAUAAUUGGAAACCUAUUCUAUUUAAUCUUGUUGGCUUAGUCAUUAUGUUUGUUAUGCAUUUGUGACGGAUAAUUGUUUGAUAUACCUCUUUAUGUUGUCUUUUUGAUUAUUUGUUCUUCCAUGCAGAGGUUAUGAUUUUAGCAAAUCAGGAUUUGGUCCACGAACUAUUAUACUUUGUGAUCAGGUGUUUUUUAAUUUUUCAUAUUUUUGGUUGCAUUUGAAGUGCACUUUUCCACAAAAUAUUACUGUUGCUUCUAUUUAAACCACUAAGUGGUGCUUUCUCCUCUUGUUUUGCUAGUGUGAGAAGGAAUAUCAUGUUGGCUGUUUAAAGAAACAUAAAAUGGCAAAUUUAAAGGUGAGCACCUCAAAGAAAGCAGAUGCUUAAUGAUUUAUAUCACCAGAGUCUUUUCGUUCCUGUGGACUUGCAAAAUAGAUUUCUGAUUGAAGUGUUGAUGCCAUUUCUUUGACAGGAAUUGCCAAAGGGGAAGUGGUUUUGUUGCGUGGAGUGCAGUAAAAUUCAUUCUAUUUUACAAAAGUUGCUAACGAGAGGAGCUGAGAAGCUUCCCGACUCUCAUUUGGAUGUUAUAAAGAAGAAGCAGGAAGGAAAUGGUUUGGAAACUGUCAGUGGAUUAGAUGUGAGAUGGAGACUUAUUAGUGGCAAAAUUGCUUCACAGGAAUCUCGUUUAUUACUUGCACAGGCUGUUGCUAUCUUCCAUGUGAGUUCUUCCCUCUCUUCUUUUAAAAGGUUGUGGUGCUUGCCUACAGCAAUUUAGGGUCAUCCCACAGUAAUUUACUUUCUUCUAGAGGGCUUCUUCAUAAACAUGGUUCAAUAUAAGUUAGUUUAGUUACAUUCUUUUUACUUUUGUAUUGUUUUAUUUAUUGUAACAAACUUUUGUUUGUAUGUCUCUUUAAAUUUUCCUUUUAUGAUUUUUUAUUUAUUUUUGGUGGUAACUGAGUAUCUUAGACAAUUCGUUUAUGAGGAAAAAAAAAAAGGAAAUUUAAAGAAGACUAGUUUCUGCAUCAUAUGCCAAUUAGCUGAAAUUCUUUUGCAAGCAAAAAAGAAAUAAAAACUGAAAUUUGGUCACAAUUGCAUAUAGGCAGCAUAAUCCCCUUGAACUACAUAUAUUCUCCCUGGAGCUGAACACAAUGACUUGUUUAGGAACCUAACUUAAGAGGCACUAAGGAUUGUGUUAUUGCCGGAGGAUUAUAUUGCUUCUAAAUGGCCUAAUACUUUGAUUGGUAAGGGGGAUGGAUUGGGUAAUCACAUUGGAAGGAUAAAAGAAAGGAAUGAUGCAUAGUGUUCUUCCUUUUGAUAGAAAGGAAGGGAAACAGGAUGGCAAGGGUAAGGGGAUGGGGAUGGAAAGAGUAAAGGUAUGCUGUAGAUAUGCUGUUACAAACACAUCUUUAUCUAAAGAAAGUUGGUCAGGGGAUACAAAGCGAUAUAACAACAAUUUGGAAAAUUUCUUUUGGCAUCUUUUUCCUAACAAACAUUUUUUAAGAGAGAAAAAGAGGAUGGCAAGGAUGACCCUCUUCCAUUUAACUCGUUUUUUGCCAAGCAAAAUUUGGUUGGUAUUCAAGUUGUAUUAUUAUUAUUAUUUUCUAUGACGCAGUCGGUGUCCUAGUUUGGUUGUUAGGGUGAAGCUCCUUACCCCCUUUCUUGUAUGACUGAUGGGACUGUUGAUUUUAAUAAAAAGGAAUGGUAAAUUGUAAUGUGCUUUUAUACGCUAGGCUUAUCUUAUGUGAGUGUUUGCAGACAAGAAGCAUAGCAGAGGCACUUAUUACACACAUGAAAGGAACCAUCAUCUUAACAACAAUUGAUAUUCUCCCAUACCUGUGUUGCAGGAUUGCUUUGAUCCUAUAAUUGAUUCAGAAUCUGGGCGAGACCUUAUUCCAGCCAUGGUUUAUGGGUAAGCAUAAGGAUCUGUGACCUUGUAUUGUAGUUGGUUUAUCUAGUCCAAAGUUUUGCAUGUGCAUCCAGUAUUCUAAUAGAUUUUCUUUUUCUUCUUCUUCUCCUCUCUGUCUUUCUCUCUCUCUCUCUCUCUCUCUCUCUCUCUCUCUCUCUCAGAAGGAAUGUUAGGAGCCAAGAGUUUGGGGGGAUGUACUGUGCAAUACUGAUGGUCAAGUAAGUUGUUUGAUCUCUGAUCGUGGACUUGGUUCCUUGUAAUAUAAUUGAUAAAACUCAUCUGUUAUUGCAGCUCAACUGUGGUAUCAGCUGGAAUUAUUCGUGUUUUUGGUCAUGAAGUCGCUGAACUUCCUUUGGUUGCUACAAGUAAUGGUAACCACGGCAAGGUGAGACUAAAAUAGAGAAAUAUAUUUAAUAUUAUUUCGAGCUGCUUGUGCUGAACUUAUGCCCCUAAUUUUCUUUUGUCCUUGGCGUUUUUAUGGUACAAUUUUUCAGUUUUGAUGGUUCUGUUUCUCGCGAACAAAGUUAUGACUCCAAGUUUAGUUUGAUACAAUUCAACUUUUUUUACCCAAAAUUCACAGGGCUACUUCCAGUUGUUGUUUUCCUGCAUUGAGAAGCUGCUAGCCUUCUUGAGUGUGAAGAGCCUUGUGCUGCCAGCUGCUGAAGAAGCAGAAUCCAUAUGGACUGAAAAAUUUGGUUUUACAAAAAUAAUGCCGGACCAGGUAUGUUUUAAUUGUGUCUAAAUAAUGCACUCAUUCUCUUUGUGCCUUUUUGUUGCCCUGAAAUUUACGGUUGUGUCCUUGCGCUGCUGCAGCUUACCAACUACAGAAGGACUUGCUACCAAAUGGUGACCUUCAAAGGAACAUCAAUGCUACAUAAAAAGGUUCCUGAGUGUCGGGUUGUAAAUACACUAUGAGAGCAGGGGGGGAAAUGAAAGAGCUUUUUUUCUUUUUGCCUUAUCCUUAUUAGCAAGCUUUUAGUUUCCAGUUCAUGUUUGUAAAAUUUUAUGAAUUGGAAUUGUCAAGCCUCUGCUGUUCAUAUCAACAUUUUUCUUGAACUUCAGCUAAAUAGCUCUAUUUGUCCUUUAGUUUUUUCUUUAUAAGGCUUUAUUGAGCACAUAUUCUGCAUGCACAAGAGUUAAAUGUAUGAAAGUUUUUAAGUUCUGUGCUUUUCUUUUCUCAAAUUUUCUUCUUCCUCGGUUUAUUUUUCAGUUAGAUUUUGGGAUAAAUUGGUGAAAGUGGUAGGUCUUGUAGUCGAGUAUUCUAUUAUGUAAUAAACUAAAAAUUGAAUUCUCUUUUCCCACAAGAAAAAAAAUAGAAAGAAAAUAGCAUAAUAAUCAUCCUUGGUAUUUUCUUAUGAAGCAGCAGGUGUUGGUGUUGUAUUAUAUGGAAAAAAAAACACUGAUUCCCAUGUGUGAUGCAUUGAUAAGGCCUUGUUUGUCAAUGUUCCAAAAUCCCCCUUCUGUACCAGAUAUGUAUAAAAUCCCCCUGGUUGGCUCGUAUUUUCAUAGUUCAUAUGCACCUCCAACUGAAGAGGUUGCUUGGGACGAUUGUCCGUGCCUACGAGGGUGACGACUUCCAGCCGUUGAUGUAUUAUAAGCUAAGCAUCUGUGACUAUAAGCAUCUAUGAUUGUGAGUCACCAUGCACGCAUGAAUGGCUCCGCCUAACAUUUUUCCCAAUUGAUUCGCAUGAGCUGCUGUAUUCAGAACAAGAAGUACUAUUGCAGGCUGCAGCUACACCUAAUGUUCCACAUAGCAAGGGCGGUUUCAUAAAUUUCAAGUCACUUUUUCUUCAGAAACCUCCAUGAUUAUAUGGAGCUACAAGUCCCACCGCCCAAUUUAGUAGUGUAGUGUACGGUGUGCCCUUUGUGCUAAGUUGUCAAGAAACACCUCCAAUUUUCAAAGAAUUAAAAUUAAAGUUCAAGUCUCACUGCAUCACCACCAAAACACACACACAUGCCCACACCUUUACCACUUUCCCUCCUUUCAUCAUUGAUUCUUGAUCAUAAUAAAACCUCUCAGCUCCUCUCCUCUGUGGCUUUGCGUAUGCAUUUUCCAAUCUCCAUGCCUUCUCUCUCUCUCUCUCUCUCUCUCUCUCUCUCUCUCUCUCUCUCCAUACCAUAACUUUUAAAAGCAGAGAUUUUGUAAUCAUCUUCACACGCACAAACAUCACAAACAGGCUCAUACAAUUCUUACCUCCCACGCCAAGCACCAUACCCUCAAGUUUACAUGACCAAUUUUUAGACACAAAAUGAAAUAAGUUAUAACCCCCCCACAAGCCCCAACCCACUUCUUAACUCAAAAUAAUAUCAAACCUCAGCUAAAUACGUCAAAAGCCUUAACCAUGAGAACCAAAACAACCCUCUUCUUUUGGUUCUCAGCCUUUGUCAUUGCACUUGUUUCCACUAUCAUCUCUCUCCAUCACAUCCCCUCCUCUCUCUCCUCAACUUCUACUAUUGCCAAAAGUGCUCAAAAUAGUUUCAAGCUUGCUAUAUUAGAUGGAGUUUUCAAGAAAAGUGGUGAGAGCUUAUUGUCUACCUUGAGAAGCAUUGUGUCCAGACACCACCACCACCACCACCACCGCCGCCGGCGGAGCCCUAAAUGUGCCAACACAAAAUGGAAAUUUAGGCUCGUAUCUGAAUACAAUGUGUCCCUUGUUUUGACAGUAGGCUUAAAGGGUUGCACAAAUUUUAGUAGCGUGCAAAAGGCAGUAGAUGCUGCUCCUGAGCUUAGCAACUAUAGAACCCUCAUCAUAAUCGAUUCGGGUACUUACAGGUAUUAUAUAUUCCAAGGGAGAAAAAUGAAACUGUCCCAUAAGAAAAUGAAGUUGAAAUAUGGAUAUAGGUUUGCAAAUUAAUUCUUAUUAACCAUAUGAUCAAAUAUAUGAUGGCAGGGAAAAGGUGACGGUGGCUGCUAACAAGACCAAUUUGAUAUUUCAAGGUCAGGGCUAUCUUAACACCAUCAUAGCAUGGAAUGACACAGCCAAUUCUACUGGAGGGACGGCUCGUAGCUCUUCAGUUGCCAUCUUUGCUCCCUAUUUCACUGCCUACAAUAUUAGCUUUCAGGUAAAGAAAAUGGAACUGUUUGAUAUGUUUCCUAUGUGGGAUUUCAAUAAUUUGGGAAAUAUUUUCUGUUUUUUUUUGUUGAGAAGAACACAGCUCCGCCACCAGGUCCUGGAAGAAUUGGAGCACAGGCUGUGGCACUAAGAAUUGCAGGAGAUCAAGCUGCAUUUUAUGGAUGUGGCUUCUAUGGUGCCCAAGACACCCUUAAUGAUGAUCGUGGGAGGCAUUAUUUUAGUGAAUGUUUCAUUCAAGGGUCCAUCGAUUUCAUUUUUGGCAAAGCUAAAUCACUCUAUGAGGUAUAAGUUAUAACACAAUCAUCCAUCCAUAAUCAACAGGCUUUGUCAUAAUUUAAUGUGACGUGCCAGCAUUGUUGGAAAUAAAUGAGAUGCAGGGUAGGCUCAGAUACGAACAAAUAAAACACCACGACAACGAGAUUUGGUGUCUCUAGCAUUACUAGUCUGGUACUAAUUUUAAAGCAUUGAUAGGGGUGCACCAUUAAUUCGAUAGCAAAUGCGGUCAAACGGGGGAUAAGUGGAGCCGUCACGGCACAAGGAAGACAGUCGGCGCAGGAGCAAAGCGGAUUUUCGUUUGUGAAUUGCAGCAUUGGAGGAAGUGGGAAAGUGUGGCUUGGUCGAGCUUGGGGAGCUUAUGCAACUGUGGUGUUUUCUAAAACAUACAUGUCUGAUGUUGUGGCUUCAGAUGGAUGGAAUGACUGGAGAGACCCCUCUAGAGACCAGUCUGUGGUUGCUUGCUUUGCUCCUCAUAUUGCUUUUUUUCUUUUUGGUGUCUCCAAAAUUCUAUUGUUCUCUUCUCUCUUUUUGGUUGUCAUUUUUUUUUUCUAAUUAUGAAGGUGUUUAUUUGAAUGCAGGACAGUGUUGUUUGGGGAGUACGAUUGUAUGGGAUCGGGCUCAAAUUAUACGCAUAGAACCUCGUAUGCAAGGCAACUCAAUGAAUCUGAGGUAGCCCCCUUCUUGGACAUUUCCUACGUUGAUGGAAAUGAGUGGCUUUUACAUCCUCCACCCUUCAAUCUUCAUGAUGACCACUAUAAGCACAAUGAUCAAUUGACUCAAACUUUCUAAUUUGAGUAACGUUUUCUUUGACAUCAGAUUAUCUAUCGUCUCGCUUGAUCAAGUAGAAUCAUGUCCAAAUGUGCGUUUUUUUAAUAAGAAAUCCACAGUCUGAUAAUAUAACAUAUUAGAUUGUGUUGGCGUGACUUGUGGACUAUUGACUUACUUUCCUUACACACCAAGAAUUCCUAUUAUAAUUGUAAUUGAUUUACUUUAAUUCAUGAUUUUCUAUUGUAAAUAGAUUUAGGAAUUUAUUAUUUACUUGCCCCUUCAGGUUUCGUUGUAUUAUAAAUAUGACAUCUUACAAAGAGAAUAAUACACAGAAAAUUCCCACAAAUAAAUAUUCUCAUAUUAGGUUUUAUAUUUUAGCAUGGUAUCAGAGCGGCGAUCUUAGGAUUGCCGACUCUAGUUUCUAAACCUUAACCACCACCAUGGGGGAGGAUGACUCUUCUAAUUCUCAUGGCGGUAGCACCACUGCUUCCUCUCUCCUUCUCAACCAACCAAAGCCUAGUUGAGUAUCCAGGUGUCUCAACUAAUGAAGAUGCAGACUCAGACCUCGAACCUGAUCCUAAAUUAGGAUCUUACCAAGACGACCCCAAACUCAACUCAGUUGACGACCCCGAACUCGACUCAAACGACGACCUUGAACCCGAAUCAGACGACGAUUACCUAUGAAGCUUCCGCUGCACAUAUUGGCAUAAAGUUGGAUGGCACCAACUAUGCCCUAUGGUCCCAAGUUGUCGAGUUGAAUAUCUCCGGCAAAGAUAAAUUGGGAUAUAUUAGUGGCGAUCUUCCACAACCUCCUUCGACCGCUCCAACGUUUCCCCGUUGGCGCACCUAGAACUCUAUUGUGAAGAGAUGGCUCAUCAAUUCUCUAGAGCAGAGCUUGAUUGGCAAUUUCAUUCGCUUUCCAACGGCAAAGGCAGUGUGGGAAGCCAUUGCCACAACUUACUAUGAUGGCACUGACACCUCUUUGGUUUCUGACCUGAAACGACGAGUCUCCUGUAUGCGACAAGCUGGCAGCUCCAUUGAAACCUAUUACAAUACCCUCCAAAGCUUAUGGAGAGAAAUUGAUUUUCGUCGUCCCAAUAUGAUAGAAUAUGAAAGUGAUAUCAAGAGCUAUAAUGAUAUUCUACAGAAAGAUCGAGUUUACAUAUUUUUGGAUGGCCUUGAUGAUCGUCUUGAUAAGGCCCGAAGUGAUGUUCUUCACAUGACUUCAGAUGUUCUUCACAUGACUUCAUUCCCUACUGUGGACCAAGCUUAUGCCUGUGUUUGCCAUGAAGAUGUUCAACAAGUUGUGAUGAUAGGUUCAUUUGCACCCACUGGCUCUGGCUUAGCGGCCAAGAGUGUGCCUCGAUCAGGGCCCCCUGCUCAUGCCAGACAGCCCCAGAAUUCCUCUAUUGCAGCCCACCUUCAGAUCCAAUCAUAUGCUACUGUUACUGGUGUGCCACAUCCUAAAACUAUCCCACCUUCUUGUCCCAAGGCUCUGACUGAUGAAAGUGGUUACACGCACUGUGGCAACCCCAAACAUACCCGAGACACCUGUUUUAAGUUGAAUGGUUAUCUUGAUUGGUGGGAGGACCUCCGCGCUGGCAAGCUCAGAGAAACUACUAGUAGUUUCGGUCGUGCUGCACUUGUCUCUACUGAACCCCAAUUAGCAUUGUUUCCGCAUGUAGACCCUAUUGGUAGUCCCUCGCCUUCGGAUGACUCAGGUAACUAUGAUUAUGUAUUUCAUACUUCUGAUCUACGAGAUACUACUGGUUGGAUAAUUGAUUCUGGUGCCACUGAUCAUAUGACAUUUGAUUCGAAUUAUUUUUUGCACACCAUUACAUCCCGCCGCACAAGUAUUGCUAAUGCGAAUGGAGUUACCUAUCCUGUGACAGGGGCCUGCAUUGUCGCCUUUUCACCUUAUCUAUCCCUUUCCAAUACUCUACUCAUUCCAUCUUUUUCCAAUAAAUUAAUGUCUGUGAGCCAGGCAACUGAGCAACUAAAUUGUUGUGCACUAAUUUAUCCUAAUUUUUGUUUACCAUAUGAUAUUCUCACCAAGGAGAUCAUUGGGUGUGGUACUAAAAGAGGAGGGUUGUACUAUGUGGAUGACUUCAGUAUGGGACGUGCCAACAGUGUGAAGCAUCCUUCUGAUGACAAGCACAUACAGAUUUGGCUUUGGCACCGAUGUUUGGGGCAUCCAUCCUUUGGUUAUAUGAGACACUUAUUACCCGAGUUAUUUUCUGUAUUUAAUGACUCAGAUUUUAAAUGUGAUACUUGCAUUUUAGCUAAGAGUCAUAGAGCAUCCUAUCCUUUGAGUAUGAAUAAAAGUACUAUUCCUUUUGCUUUAAUUCAUUCUGAUGUUUGAGGACCAUCACCAAUUUCUACUCAUUCCGGUAUUCGUUGGUUUGUCAUAUUCUUAGAUGAUUGUACACGGAUGACAUGACUUUAUUUGUUGAAAAAUAAGAAUGAAGUGUUUUCCAUGUUCCAAUCUUUUCACAAACAUAUGGAAACACAGUUCAAUGCUUGAAUAUAGAUUCUUCGCUUUGACAACGGAGGAGAAUUUGUUAAUAAUGACUUUCAAACUUACUUCCAGACACAUGACAUUAUUCAUAAGACAACUUGCCCCCAGACACCACAACAAAAUGGUGUUGCCGAACAAAAGAAUCGUCAUCUUCUUGAAAUAGCACGUGCUCUUCUCAAUGGUGGCCAUGUUCCUCGUCAUCACUGGGAUGAUGUUGUCAUCACUGCUGUCCACCUUAUCAACUGCAUGCCUUCUGUAACACCUCGACUCCAAUUAAAUUCCCUACUUAAAUUAUUUAAUUUAAUUAAAUAUGAAAUUACAAAUUUAGCCUUAGGAUAAGGGUAUUUUGGUCACUUUUUAAUCCGAAAGGAUUUCUGGGCAGUGGCUGGUAUCUUUACGUAGAAAGUACCAAGAUAAGUCCGUAGACACAUAGUGGACUCGAAUCGGAGUUGUAAUGAAGAAAUGGCAAUCAAAAGAAGUUCAGUGGCAUAACCAUAAAUAUUUCGAAGUUCAAUUUUUUUUUUAAACCUAGAAUUUCUUCAUUUUGGGCAGCUCGACCAGCUAACUUCAAAGGGUGAUUUCUUCAUUUUGGGCUGCCAUUUCAAGCAAGACCGGUCCCGUUAGAACCAUCACACUUUCCUCUUCCAGCCCCAGCCCUUCACCGCCUCGAUCCGCCACCGUAGUUGCCGGAAACAGCCAAGAAACAGGCUGUUUUGGACAGCUUUUUCGUAAACUUUCGCCGACUCGUUUUUCCUCCCCCGACCAUCGUUUCAGGCGAGUGAGGUAUGCUUUCUCACCUAUUUUUCAUGAUCUAGCUGAUGGUUGGGUAGGAUUUGAGAAAUUUCUAGCUUAAGUGAGUUAAUUUUGGAUUUAUGGUUCGGCCAGUUUUGGGAUCACAAUUCAGGCCACCUCAGGCCAUUUUUUGGGGUAUGUUCAAGAACAAAAGUGACUCCAAAUGGGGUUUUACACUUAGGUAGGAA